AUGGAUAACAUCAGCAUGACAUCAUAAAGGGAAGUCUGUUGUCUCCAUGCAGAUGGCUUCAUUACAAGCCAAGCUGAACUAGCAGUUCAUUAACACAAUUUAAGUGAAGACUUAGACUAAUAUAUGGUUAUGUGGUUUUAUAGAAAGUACAUCAGACAAGAUGAUCAAGAAGGCUGGUAGGGCCUCAUAUUAUAUAAUGGUUUCCAGAAUCUCUCCCAGCCUACGACUAUCAUUCAUCAAACACCAAAAACCAUCCGAACUCUACUACAGGUAGCCAGUGAAAUAUGAUCAUGACACAGUCUGUCUAUUGCAGUUGUUAAAUCAUGAUGGUUGUAAAACACACAACUAAUCCAAUUUUAUGGUAGUGAAAAAUUUGUGGCAGGUAUUAAGUGGACACCAUGCUCACAAAGUAAAUGCCAUGGUCGUAAAGUGAAAAGCAAGGUGAUCAUUGUUAUUGUUAGGUGACCACUGCAGUUGUUAAGUGAACUCAUUGAUCACUAUUGUGCAGUUUUGCCAAAAACUGGAAGUAAGUGCUGGCUUUCAAUAAAACUGUUGUAAAAUGUGGUAAAAUUA